GCAGGUAGUGCAAGGGAAAGGCGACGACAUAAGCCUACGUUCCGCUCUCUCCCAGGGCUCCCAUCUUUCUGCUAAGAUAUCCAAUACAUAUUUGUAUCAUGUCUGAUGAUGCUAUCUAGAUGCAGGCUAAAGGAAAUCUUCUUCUUUCUGAGUAAAAACAUUAGUUUCACUUUGAUUUGGAUUCUGGAGAAUAUAUGAAUGUUUCAGUUUGAAGUGAUCAUCAAUUUGUGUCGCACAAAAAUGAAUUCCAAAGCCUGCUCUCGAUGUUGGCCCUCAGUCAAACGCGCACACUCGCUGUUGGUCCACCCCAGCAACGCCGAAGUCAUCGCAGCCUUGCUGGGGAUGGUGUUGACAGCGUGGGACAGUGUCAGCACAUGAUCUUUAUGUUUCAGGCGGCUUUAGUUACAUGUAUCUGUUUCUCUAAUACUGCUAUGAGAUUCAGUGGAGGAAGAGCACUGAUUUAGUUCCAUAUGGUUAUGUAUGGUUGCUUUGGCCUUUGAGUGGUGAAAAAUCAAAACAGAAGUUUCAGCAAAUGCGCUGAUGCAGGGGUUCACAUCUCCAUCAGGUUAUCUGCUAAGGGAGUGUACAACGUCAUAUAUGUGCCUGA